rnacentral:misc_RNA from 1 species
UCAAAAGCUAAAACUUUUGCUUUACCUCAAUUCUUUUCUUGACCUAUUGUUACUGAAAAUAUGAGCUCAUUAAAAAGGAGCUCUAACCUUAGACUCAUUGGAAAUGAGAGAGUCCAAAUCUCAAUUUAGUUGAAAAUAAUUAUGCUUAAUUUCAUUAAUUCAAGCAACUCCUUUUAUAAGAAAGGUUUACAUAGGAUUUAUUAGAAAUAGAAGUCCUAAUAAUAGUAGCAAAUCCUAUAAAAGAGGGAUUAUAAUUCUAAAAAGGAAAUAACUCUUAAUUAAA